rnacentral:rRNA from 1 species
UACGAAGGGGGCUAGGCGUUGCUCGGAAUCACUGGGCGUGAAAGGGCGCGUAGGCGGCGUUUUAAGUCGGGGGGUGAAAGCCUGUGGCUACAACCACAGAAUUGCCUUCGAUACUGUUUGGCUUGAGUUUGGUAGAGGUUGGUGGAACUGCGAGUGUAGAGGUGAAAUUCGUAGAUAUUCGCAAGAACACCAGUGGCGAAGGCGGCCCAACUGGACCAACACUGACGGCUGAGGCGCGAAAGCGUGGGGAGCAAGCAGGG